rnacentral:rRNA from 1 species
CUACCCUUGACAUGUCUAGAAGGCCGAAGAGAUUUGGCUGUGCUCGCAAGAGAACUGGAACACAGGUGCUGCAUGGCUGUCGUCAGCUCGUGUCGUGAGAUGUUGGGUUAAGUCCCGCAACGAGCGCAACCCUUGUCAUUAGUUGCUACGAAAGGGCACUCUAAUGAGGCUGCCGGUGACAAACCGGAGGAAGGUGGGGAUGACGUCAAGUCCUCAUGGCCCUUAUGGGUAGGGCUUCACACGUCAUACAAUGGUCGGGACAGAGGGUAGCCAACCCGCGAGGGGGAGCCAAUCCCCCCAAACACCAUCGUAAUCCGGAUCGCAGUCUGCAACUCGACCGCGUGAACUCGGAAUCUCUGGAAAACGCGGAUAACCUUGUGGCGCUUAAAACAUUUCCGGGGUUU